rnacentral:rRNA from 1 species
AGUCAACAUGCCCAGGGGACGUGGAUAACCUCGGGAAACUGAGGAUAAACCGCGAUAGGUCACUGCUUCUGGAAUGGGCAAUGACCCAAACCUAUAUGGCCCCUGGAUUGGACUGCGGCCGAUCAGGCUGUUGGUGAGGUAAUGGCCCACCAAACCUGUAACCGGUACGGGCUCUGAGAGGAGGAGCCCGGAGAUGGGCACUGAGACAAGGGCCCAGGCCCUAUGGGGCGCAGCAGGCGCGAAACCUCUGCAAUAGGCGAAAGCUUGACAGGGUUACUCUGAGUGAUUUCCGUUAGGGAGAUCUUUUGGCACCUCUAAAAAUGGUGCAGAAUAAGGGGUGGGCAAGUCUGGUGUCAGCCGCCGCGGUAAUACCAGCACCCCGAGUGGUCGGGACGUUUAUUGGGCCUAAAGCAUCCGUAGCCGGUUCUACAAGUCUUCCGUUAAAUCCACCUGCUUAACAGAUGGGCUGCGGAAGAUACUAUAGAGCUAGGAGGCGGGAGAGGCAAGCGGUACUCGAUGGGUAGGGGUAAAAUCCGUUGAUCCAUUGAAGACCACCAGUGGCGAAGGCGGCUUGCCAGAACGCGCUCGACGGUGAGGGAUGAAAGCUGGGGGAGCAAACCGGAUUAGAUACCCGGGUAGUCCCAGCUGUAAACGAUGCAGACUCGGUGAUGAGUUGGCUUAUUGCUAACUCAGUGCCGCAGGGAAGCCGUUAAGUUUGCCGCCUGGGGAGUACGGUCGCAAGACUGAAACUUAAA